rnacentral:rRNA from 1 species
AUUGAACGCUGGCGGCAUGCUUUACACAUGCCAGUCGAACGGUAACAGGCCGCAAGGUGCUGACGAGUGGCGAACGGGUGAGUAAUGCAUCGGAACGUGCCCAGUCGUGGGGGAUAACUACUCGAAAGAGUAGCUAAUACCGCAUACGAUCUAUGGAUGAAAGCGGGGGACCGUAAGGCCUCGCGCGAUUGGAGCGGCCGAUGUCAGAUUAGGUAGUUGGUGGGGUAAAGGCUCACCAAGCCAACGAUCUGUAGCUGGUCUGAGAGGACGACCAGCCACACUGGGACUGAGACACGGCCCAGACUCCUACGGGAGGCAGCAGUGGGGAAUUUUGGACAAUGGGCGCAAGCCUGAUCCAGCAAUGCCGCGUGCAGGAAGAAGGCCUUCGGGCUGUAAACUGCUUUUGUACGGAACGAAACGGCUCUGGUUAAUACCCGGGGCUAAUGACGGUACCGUAAGAAUAAGCACCGGCUAACUACGU